GGGCAUCUUACUUGCGUAAACACGGGGACUAUGGAUGUGUUGGCUAGUUCGGAUGAUGAGUUUCACCUUAAACUCCAUAUUCGGAGCAAGGCCGACAACUUCACAUGGACCCUCGUCGCUGUGUAUAGGGCAGCCCAGGAUUAGUUCAAGACUGAUUUUCUCCGUGAAUAGGUUAAUCUGGCAAAAGAUAAUCCCUACCCCAUUCUUAUAGGAGGGGAUUUUAAUUUGCUUUGAUUCCCAAGUGAGAAAAGCCGCAGGUUUGAUAAUCAUUGGCCUUUCCUUUUCAAAGCUGUCAUCGACAGUCUAGAUUUGCGAGAGGUUUUCAUGGUUGGAAGACAAUUCACUUGGGCGAACAGUCUUCCUGACCCAACAUAUGAGAAACUAGAUCGCGUUUUAAUGGAUACCGAUUGGGAAUCUAAAUUUCCUAAGGUGUCUGUUUGUGCGCUACCUCGUAUCGAGGCCAUAUCAGACCACACACCCAUCUUCCUAACUACUGGUUUGCCACGACCACAUCAUAGAUGCAAGUUCAAGUUUGAACUUGGUUGGUUGCUUCAGGAUGGCUUCCAUGACAUGGUCAAGGGGGUAUGGCAGAAACCAGUGGCCGGGCGUACCCCAAUACACAAAUGA
rnacentral:rRNA from 1 species